GACGGAGGGUGCAAACGUUGUUCGGAAUUACUGGGCGUAAAGGGCGCGUAGGCGGUUGGAUAAGUCAGCUGUGAAAACCACGGGCUUAACUCGUGGCCUGCAGUUGAGACUGUCUGGCUUGAGUGUGGGAGAGGAGAGUGGAAUUCCUGGUGUAGCGGUGAAAUGCGUAGAUAUCAGGAGGAACACCGGUGGCGAAGGCGGCUCUCUGGACCACAACUGACGCUGAGGCGCGAAAGCUAGGGGAGCAAACAGG
rnacentral:rRNA from 1 species